GCCAAUGAAAAGACUCCCACUGACUUCAACAGGAUUUGGAUGGAAGUGGUUAUACACUGGGGGGUGUGAUCCUGCACUGAGGGAGUUGAAGGUGGUAAGCACAUCACGAAGCCGUCCCUGACAGUUAAAUCGAUGCAAACGCUCUUCAUGAGGAUGUGCGCCGCAGACACCAGGAGCGUAAUGCAGAUAUGCAAACGUGAUUUAAUUAUUGUGGUGGCUGAACAUCGAC